CCUACGGGAGGCAGCAGUGGGGAAUUUUGGACAAUGGGGGCAACCCUGAUCCAGCAAUGCCGCGUGAGUGAAGAAGGCCUUCGGGUUGUAAAGCUCUUUUGUCAGGGAAGAAACAGCAGCUAUAACACAGACUGCGAAUGACGGUACCUGAAGAAUAAGCACCGGCUAACUACGUGCCAGCAGCCGCGGUAAUACGUAGGGUGCGAGCGUUAAUCGGAAUUACUGGGCGUAAAGCGUGCGCAGGCGGUUAUACAAGACAGGCGUGAAAUCCCCGGGCUUAACCUGGGAAUGGCGUCUGUGACUGUAUAGCUAGAGUGUGUCAGAGGGGGGUGGAAUUCCACGUGUAGCAGUGAAAUGCGUAGAUAUGUGGAGGAACACCAAUGGCGAAGGCAGCCCCCUGGGAUAACACUGACGCUCAUGCACGAAAGCGUGGGGAGCAAACAGGAUUAGAUACCCUGGUAGUCCACGCCCUAAACGAUGCUGACUAGUUGUUGGGAAUUUACAUUCUCAGUAACGUAGCUAACGCGUGAAGUCAGCCGCCUGGGGAGUCGGUCGCAGAUUAAACUUAAGGAAUUGACCGGUNUGAGACGAGCGAGACGACGACGAGGGAGGAGG
rnacentral:rRNA from 1 species